rnacentral:rRNA from 1 species
UUGGAGGGCAAGUCUGGUGCCAGCAGCCGCGGUAAUUCCAGCUCCAAUAGCGUAUAUUAAAGUUGUUGCAGUUAAAAAGCUCGUAGUUGAAUUUCGGGAUCAAUUUAUUGGUCGUGCUAUUGUACGUACUGGUAUUAUUGAUUCCUACCUUCUGACGAACCAUGAUGUCAUUAAUUUGGUGUCAUGGGGAAUCAGGACUGUUACUUUGAAAAAAUUAGAGUGUUUAAAGCAGGCUCACGCUUGAAUACAUUAGCAUGGAAUAACGAAAUAGGACGUUUGAUUCUAUUUUGUUGGUUUCUAGGAUCGACGUAAUGAUUAAUAGGGAUAGUUGGGGGCAUUAGUAUUCAAUUGUCAGAGGUGAAAUUCUUGGAUUUAUUGAAGACUAUUUACUGCGAAAGCAUUUGCCAAGGAUGUUUUCAUUAAUCAAGAACGAAAGUUAGGGGAUCGAAGACGAUCAGAUACCGUCGUAGUCCUAACCAUAAACUAUGCCGACUAGGGAUCGGAUGAUGUUAAUUUUUCUUGACUCGUUCGGCGCCUUACGGGAA